UUAUCAUGACAUUGUGAGUGAAGUUAACCCUCCUGACCUCAUCUCUGUGCCUCUCUUCUGUUGCUUUGUAGGAUUGCUGAGGUUGAGGCCAAGGCCCUCAUGUCUCUGGAUGCUAAUGGAGGUUUGGAAAGUCUUCUGAUGUCCCAAAUCUUUCCAUCAUUUAUCAGAGCUGGAAGCUUUACUUCUUGAAGUGUGGUAUAAAAUCCCACUACACACAGUUCAGCUUUCAAGCUUCCUGUCGCCAUGGGAACAGUCGAAGUGACCUGGAGGAUACCCAUUGGAAAAUGAAUUCCAAGCAUGAACACGGACUAUUCAUGGAAAGGAAGUUAAUCGGCAUUUAAGGGUACACCAACAACAGCAAUCCUUCUUAUUCUUCACCGACAGCUAAUAGCAUAAGGACAACCAUUCACUUAUCUGCAGCUCUUCACAACAACUGUAAUUGACCCUUAGAAGCAGCUCCUGUCCAAUCAGAUCUCUAGCAAACACUCCUAACCAAUAUAUCCUUUAUUAAGCUUUCAGCACUUUUCCACCACCAGUGUUUGAUAUUUGUGGAGACAACCCUAAUUACAUUUUCUCUGACAGGCAGGUAGAAGAA